GGGGCAUUAGCGCAGUUGGUAGCGCACAACACUGGCAGUGUUGGGGUCAGCGGUUCGAAUCCGCUAUGCUCCACCA
rnacentral:tRNA from 1 species